GGGGAAACGAUAGUUGGAAGCUUGCGUUCCGAGUGGGCGUCGACCGGCGCACGGGUGAGUAACGCGUAUCCAACUUCCCGCAAGUAAGGGAUAACCCGUAGAAAUGCGGCCUAAUACCUUAUGUUUUCCUUAGAGGGCAUCUGAUGAGGAACAAAGAUCCGUCGCUUGCGGAUGGGGAUGCGUCUGAUUAGUUAGUCGGCGGGGUAACGGCCCACCGAGACGACGAUCAGUAGGGGUUCUGAGAGGAAAGUCCCCCACAUUGGAACUGAGACACGGUCCAAACUCCUACGGGAGGCAGCAGUGAGGAAUAUUGGUCAAUGGGCGAGAGCCUGAACCAGCCAAGUAGCGUGCAGGAUGACGGCCCUAUGGGUUGUAAACUGCUUUUAUAAGGGAAUAAAGUGGGUCACGUGUGACUUUUUGCAUGUACCUUAUGAAUAAGGACCGGCUAAUUCCGUG
rnacentral:rRNA from 1 species